AUGAUUCCCCCNGUAAGGGCGACUGAACGGGGAAGAGCCCAGCACCGAAUCCCUCGUCAUUCAGGCGUUGGGACCUGUGGUGUAUAAGAGACCAUGUCCGGCGCUAGUGCAGUUCCUAAGUUCCCUUGAUCGGGACCACAGCCCAUAGAAGGUGCAAGGCCUGUGCGGACAGCGCUGGUGUCGGUAUAUGCCUCUUUGGAGUCGGGUUGCUUGAAAGUGCAGCUCAAAGUGGGUGGUAAACCUCAUCUAAGGCUAAAUAUGACCAUGAGACCGAUAGCAAACAAGUACCGUGAGGGAAAGUUGAAAAGAACUUUNAA
rnacentral:rRNA from 1 species